GCGCCCAGGGGAGGAUGCUCGAGAAGGUGCGGGGAAGAACGGGGACAACCGGCCGCUGCGACCCGUCUGCCACCUCCUGCCCCUGGAGGAGAGCACUAAGGGCACCAGGAGGAGGAAGAAAAAGGUAAAGGUGAAGAAGAAGGGCUUGGGGCAGCCGAGCCCAGCUGAGGAGCCGGAGGGACCCGGAGAAGGGGGUGACAGACAUGCGGGGGCCGCUGGGGGGCUGCUGCUCCCCAACAGGGUCGGGCAGGAGGAGCCUGUGCCCACCAGGAUGACCACACCCCACCCAGGUGAGAGGGGGCUAUGGGAGGCUGCCAGCACUGCUGACAUCAGGACCCCCAGAGCCACCCUACAGGUAGGGUUUGGAACCUGGUAAUACAGCAGAAUGCUGGACCACUGGUCCCCGCCAUUAGCUUUGCUUGCAGACCAGCAGAGUGCAGAGCAAGGUCACAGGAGUCUGAAGGGGAAGAGGAGAGACAUCUCUGAGCACCUCUGCAGGGAAUGGUGCAUGGAAGCAAUGAAGGACUGAGGACCCGCCACCAACAGUCCUCUCAGGUGGUUCGGUGACAAAGGCAUCCUUGCCCAGGUGUGGUGCCUGAAAUUUUGUGUUUCUCUAUCCAGUGCAGGGCAUGAAAAAGAAAAAGAAGAAGAAAAUCAAGAAUAAAAUUAAGUCGCAGGAAUCUUCUGUGGAGCAGCAGCAUGAGGAGGUCUCAAGCACCUUUGACUUGUACCGCCGGGCGAUGCUGGCUCUGAAGAUGAGGCAGGAGCAGAGGAAGCAGCCAUCUGCCAUAACCCCCUGAUCAGGGAAGGCACAAACUAGGGGAUGGGUGGUCCUAGAGGACCCAGCCUGCAGAGGCAGUGAGAUCCCAGACUGAAGUGGCAGUGGGAUUCAUGCAGGGCUGCUGGGGUGCUUUUCCAGGGCUGGCAGUCCUGGGCAAUAGAUUCUGGGGCAUGAACAGCAGCAUUGUCCUUGGUGUGGCUUGGAAACAGGGCAUUUGCAGGGACGAGCCAAAAGUCCCUUUGUAAGAUGCUUCUCUGGCAGAUGGUUGCAAACCCAUCUGAAAAGGGAACAGCCAGCCCCCUGUUAGUAUUCUGUGGAAGACUCCAUCUAAACCCAGAUUAGCCUGUGGAAGAGAGGAAGAUCAGAGCAAACAUCUCAGGGGAAAAAACCUUCAUCUUGAGUUGCCCUAUGUCCCAGGAAAGCUGUCUUCACAGGUCAGGGGCUGACUUGGCCUGUCAAUCAGUCCCUGCUUACUGCCUGGAACAGUCUCAUUUCCCAGUGGUGAAGAUGGGAGAGCGGUCCCAGGUGUUCUGCAGAAGACCUUCAUCCAGCCCACAGCCACAUCUGGCAGUGUUGUCAGGACUCCCCUCACACGGGGAAGGAGGGUUAUGCCUGUGUUUGUGCAUCCAGCAGCCCGUUGGUGAAAGUUUAAGUUCAAUGGCAACUGGUGGUAGAGGCUGCUGGAGGCUCCUUCCCCAGGAUCAUUCUUCCUGAUACUGCCAUCCUCCCAGGAGGGACAGUGGUGACCUGCAGGAAAUGCAAAAUCCUCCCAUGUCACUGGCAGCCUGGCACCCUGCAGCCCCAGGCAGUCACUGCUCUGUGCUCAUCUCAGCUCUGAGACAGGACAGCAAGCAACAUUUGCAACACAACCCAUCUGUGACACAAGCCUGUCACAGGGACUGAGCUGUGCCAGAGGACUGAGCUUGUGCUGCCUGGCUCCAGUUGGGUGUAUGUGCUGGGAAACCAGUCAUCAGUCCUGGAAACACUAUGUGAAGUCAGGAGUGGGACGGUUUUCUCUUAACACCUGCAAGAGUGUUAGGACCUGAACUGUGCAUUAGUCACCUCUGUUCCCAUGAUUACUGAUAACAGGCCUUUGUGGUUCAUGGGGAAGGAAAAUCACUGAAGCCCCUUGAAGGGCUGAAAAGGGAAAAGAAGAGAAACUGCAGCUACACUGCCUUGCCUGCCUGCUAUAAAGUUUUGUCUAACUCUGCUGGAUUGAACUGUCAGAGACUAUAAGAAUUCACUGUAAAUAAACUGUAAAUAAUAAGAGCACAAAUUAAUACUGGCCUGUAAAUACAUCACUUUUAGUAAA